GCUCUGCAUAUUCGAUUAAGAUACCAUUAUUGAGAUGGAAGAGGUUUGCUCUUGUUGCAGCAAUGUGCAUCCUUGCUGUUCGGGCUGUUAUUGUUCAACUGGCAUUUUUUCUGCACAUGGAAACCUUUGUGUUCAGGAGACCAGCCAUCCUUACAAGGCCUUUGAUAUUUGCAACAGCAUUCAUGAGUUUCUUCUCACUUGUUAUUGCAUUGUUCAAGGUAAAAGCUUUUAUGCUUUCCAUUUAUUAGGCAGAUAAUUGCCACUGGGGACUAAUAUAAAGCU